AAGUCGACGAGGAUGUUGGAGUGAGCGAUUGUUCAUCGUGUGCCGUGUUGGUUCUAACAUCGACACCACGCCAUUUAGAUCUAGUAUUGUAUAACAUUCAUCCCUUUGCAGAUCUAGACCUAGGUGCUGGGGUUCUAAAGCUGAAACUGUAAUGGCACCCAUGGAAAAGAUGGCUAAGUAGGAAUCCUUUGAAAUGGGACCCAUGUUUAUAUGAAAUUAUACUAAUUUUGAUUGCAUCUAUUUUAGUUUGAAUUGGUGUAUGCCAAGUUACAAUGUGAGUAUUUCAUAAAUGAAAACAAGUUCCAAGUUGGUAAUAGGUUGUGCAGCUACUUAACAAUUAACUUCAUAAUGUUUGCGGCCAACUGUAAGUAAUUUUCUGCUAUCUGGGUUCUAUUAGGAGUGAAGGUAUAGAAGCUGUAAAAGAUUUCUUGAAUAUUCUUAUAGUAAAUAAUUUAAUACAUUGAUUAAGCUUACAUAUUUUAUGUUCCAUUUUAUGUUCCAUACUAAACAAAUUGAGCCCGCUGUUUUACAUCCUUAUCUAUGAUUUACAGUGCUAAGGCAGCCAACAAACCAAGAACUUGUAUGAAAUGUUCAAAGUGAUAGAUGGAUUAGUCCCACUGGAUGAUGAAUUAAUCCUACCUGAUGAUCAGCACUACCUGACAAUGGAUUAGUCCUACCUUACAAGAUGUUACCUUGUAUCACCUGUGAAAAGGAUCAGGAACCAAGAAGAAAACCCUGGAUAAGUGACAUAAUCCUGGAUCUGUUGCAGAUCACCAUUCACCUGCCAAAAGAUUCAUCCCAAGUUGUUCCCUUGACCGGCAGUUCAGAAUGAGUUAAUUUCAACUACUUCACUUCUGAUUUUCCACUGUUAACUACUCCAAAAUUCAUUG